rnacentral:rRNA from 1 species
GAUGAACGCUGGCGGCGUGCUUAACACAUGCAAGUCGAACGAUGAAGCCCAGCUUGCUGGGUGGAUUAGUGGCGAACGGGUGAGUAACACGUGAGUAACCUGCCCUUAACUCUGGGAUAAGCCUGGGAAACUGGGUCUAAUACCGGAUAGGAGCGCCUACCGCAUGGUGGGUGUUGGAAAGAUUUAUCGGUUUUGGAUGGACUCGUGGCCUAUCAGCUUGUUGGUGAGGUAAUGGCUCACCAAGGCGACGACGGGUAGCCGGCCUGAGAGGGUGACCGGCCACACUGGGACUGAGACACGGCCCAGACUCCUACGGGAGGCAGCAGUGGGGAAUAUUGCACAAUGGGCGAAAGCCUGAUGCAGCGACGCCGCGUGAGGGAUGACGGCCUUCGGGUUGUAAACCUCUUUCAGUAGGGAAGAAGCGAAAGUGACGGUACCUGCAGAAGAAGCACCGGCUAACUACGUG